CCCUUAGAUGUUCUGGGCCGCACGCGUGCUACACUGAGUGGAUCAGCGGGUCAGGUUACGCGAGAGCGUUUCCUAAUCUUCAAAUCCGCUCGUGAUGGGGAUUGACGGUUGCAAUUUUCCGUCAUGAACGAGGAAUACCUUGUAAGCGCGGGUCAUCAUCCCGCGCUGAAUACGUCCCUGCCCUUUGUACACACCACCCGUCGCUCCUACCGAUUGAGUGGUCCGGUGAGGCUUUGGGAUCUAAGCGAAAAGAGCGUUUCGCUCCUUUUGCUGGGAGAACUCAGUCGAACCUUAUCAUUUAGAGGAAGGAGAAGUCGUAACA
rnacentral:rRNA from 1 species